rnacentral:rRNA from 1 species
AGACCGGUUUACUGGUCGUGCUUUUGUACGUACUGGUAUUAUUGGUUUCUCCUUUCUGACGAACUAUAAUGCCAUUAAUUUGGUGUUUUAGGGAAUCAGGACUGUUACUUUGAAAAAACUAGAGUGUUUAAAGCAGGCUCACGCUUGAAUACGUUAGCAUGGAAUAAUAAAAUAGGACGUUUGAUUCUAUUUUGUUGGUUUCUAGGAUCGACGUG